GACGAACGCUGGCGGCGUGCCUAAUACAUGCAAGUCGAACGCUGAAGGAGGAGCUUGCUUCUCUGGAUGAGUUGCGAACGGGUGAGUAACGCGUAGGUAACCUGCCUGGUAGCGGGGGAUAACUAUUGGAAACGAUAGCUAAUACCGCAUAAGAGUAGAUGUUGCAUGACAUUUGCUUAAAAGGUGCAAUUGCAUCACUACCAGAUGGACCUGCGUUGUAUUAGCUAGUUGGUGGGGUAACGGCUUACCAAGGCGACGAUACAUAGCCGACCUGAGAGGGUGAUCGGCCACACUGGGACUGAGACACGGCCCAGACUCCUACGGGAGGCAGCAGUAGGGAAUCUUCGGCAAUGGACGGAAGUCUGACCGAGCAACGCCGCGUGAGUGAAGAAGGGUUUCGGAUCGUAAAGCUCUGUUGUAAGAGAAGAACGAGUGUGAGAGUGGAAAGUUCACACUGUGACGGUACCUUACCAGAAAGGGACGGCUAACUACGUG
rnacentral:rRNA from 1 species